GAUGAACGCUGGCGGCGUGCCUAACACAUGCAAGUCGAGCGAUCUUCUUCGGAAGAGAGCGGCGGACGGGUGAGUAACGCGUGGGUAACCUGCCUCAUACACAUGGAUAACAUACCGAAAGGUAUGCUAAUACAGGAUGAUAUAAGGGAAUCGCAUGGAUUUCUUAUCAAAGCUCCGGCGGUAUGAGAUGGACCCGCGUCUGAUUAGCUAGUUGGUAAGGUAAUGGCUUACCAAGGCGACGAUCAGUAGCCGACCUGAGAGGGUGAUCGGCCACAUUGGAACUGAGACACGGUCCAAACUCCUACGGGAGGCAGCAGUGGGGAAUAUUGCACAAUGGGCGAAAGCCUGAUGCAGCAACGCCGCGUGAGCGAUGAAGGCCUUCGGGUCGUAAAGCUCUGUCCUCAAGGAAGAUAAUGACGGUACUUGAGGAGGAAGCCCCGGCUAACUACGUGCCAGCCGCCGCCGUAA
rnacentral:rRNA from 1 species